GAUGAAUGCUGGCGGCGUGCCUAACACAUGCAAGUCGAACGGUAGCAGGUCUAGUUUACUAGAUGCUGACGAGUGGCGGACGGCUGAGUAACGCGUGGGAACGUGCCCUAAAGUGAGGGAUAACGCACCGAAAGGUGUGCUAAUACCGCAUAUGAUCUUCGGAUUAAAGAAUUUAUUCGCUUUAGGAGCGGCCCGCGUCGGAUUAGGUUGUUGGUGAGGUAAUGGCUCACCAAGCCGACGAUCCGUAGCUGGUCUGAGAGGAUGACCAGCCAGACUGGAACUGAGACACGGUCCAGACUCCUACGGGAGGCAGCAGUGAGGAAUCUUCCACAAUGGGCGAAAGCCUGAUGGAGCAACGCCGCGUGCAGGAUGAAGGCCCUCGGGUCGUAAACUGCUUUUAUUAGUGAAGAAUAUGACGGUAACUAGUGAAUAAGGAUCGGCUAACUACGUG
rnacentral:rRNA from 1 species